rnacentral:rRNA from 1 species
AUUGAACGCUGGCGGCAUGCCUUACACAUGCAAGUCGAACGGCAGCACGGGAGCAAUCCUGGUGGCGAGUGGCGAACGGGUGAGUAAUGUAUCGGAACGUGCCCAGUCGUGGGGGAUAACGUAGCGAGAGCUACGCUAAUACCGCAUACGAUCUAUGGAUGAAAGCGGGGGACCGUAAGGCCUCGCGCGAUUGGAGCGGCCGAUAUCAGAUUAGGUAGUUGGUGGGGUAAAGGCCUACCAAGCCGACGAUCUGUAGCUGGUCUGAGAGGACGACCAGCCACACUGGGACUGAGACACGGCCCAGACUCCUACGGGAGGCAGCAGUGGGGAAUUUUGGACAAUGGGCGCAAGCCUGAUCCAGCAAUGCCGCGUGCAGGAUGAAGGCCUUCGGGUUGUAAACUGCUUUUGUACGGAGCGAAAAGGCUCUCUCUAAUACGGGGGGCUCAUGACGGUACCGUAAGAAUAAGCACCGGCUAACUACGUGCCAGCCGCCGCGGUAAGAC